UUAUUUUAACAAUUUGAUUUAGUUGAAUAAAAAAACUGAAGAACCGUGCGUAGUUAGGGUUGUCAGUGGAUUGGAUUCGGGACGAGUGUGUAGAAAUCUGAACCUGAACCUGACUAUCGAACCCGAAACCUGAAUAUAAAUCCGAGUCCAACGGAUUUUAAAAAUCUAUAUCAAAAUCCAAACCCGACCAAAAAUCAAAAUUUCAAACUCAAACCCAAACACCCGAAAACAAAAUAAUUAUUUUUCUUUUCGAUAUUUCAAAACACAUUAUAUUAAAUUUAAAAUUUUACAAUACAAAUUUAAAUAUAAUAUCAAAUAUUUAUUUAUAUAUAUUAUAAUGUAAAAUUAAUUCGAGUGCGGUUCAAGUUCGGAUUAGGGUUCCGAUCGGAUAUAGACAAACUUUAUAUCCGAAUCCAAAUCUAUCGAAUUUUUAUUUUUUAUAUCCGUAUCUAAAAUUAUAUUCAUUUAGUAUUAAAAAAAUUCACUUCACUCAAAUUUUGAUCCCUAUAAAAUUUCAUAUAUCCGUCCU
rnacentral:lncRNA from 1 species